CAAUGUCGUUGUAUCUGCUUCUGCUUCACACACUCGCUAAUUGGGGCUUGUGAUUGGAGCUCCUAAGUUCUGAGUUAUGCAGGUCAAGCGCCCCUUGAUUUGAGUUUCUUGCCACUAUUUUUCCCCUAAUUUAACUCUAUUUCAUAGAUUUUUUUCUUAAAUUUUAUUUCCUUUAGGUUUAGCCUAUUGAUUUUGGUUGUUCAUAUUACUGAAUUAAACUUGAAUGCUUAACUGUGUAGUGCCCCUGAUUUGAUGAUUUUAUAUUAUUAUGGGAUAGAAAUAAAAAUUUUAAAAUAGAACAGCCAAAAGAGUGAUUGACAUAAACCAGAAUUUUGAUAUAGCAGCACAAUGCUAUCAAUGAUGUGCAGUUGAAUUAGUAUUGCAAGUACUUGAAUGUUCAAGGGUUGAUUUGUUGUAUUCUUUUAUGCUAUCUGCUACAUGAUGCUUAGGAAAAACCUCGAUUGCCAUUUGUUCUGUCUUUCGUUCUGAUUUUGAUGUUGUUUCUCUACUGGUCUUAUUUUCUUGUUGCAAGAAUACUUCGCCGGUUUGCACUUGUAUGCAGGGGUUUAGGCCUAAGAACCAAGAAGUUUGGAACUUAAGAGAUGGGUCUGAUGGGUGUGUGAGAAACACAUGUUUGAAUUGUUCGACUGACAAGUUCUUGCAUCUUGAGAACAUGAAGCUGCCAAAGACAAGCAGCGUGUUUAUGAAUAAGAGUAUGACACUUGAUGAAUGUGGCAGUCUGUGUAAGAGGAAUUGUUCAUGCACUGCAUAUGCAAACAUUGAUAUCAGAAAUGGAAGAAGUGGCUGUGUUAUGUGAAUUGGUCAACUCUUUGACAUGAGUGUCUACCGUACGGAUGGCCAAGAUGUCUAUGUCGUCAGAUUGGCUGCAACUGAUAUAGGUAUCUCUCUAUCCAUCUAUUAUCUAUCUCUCCAUGAGGUGUUAUAGUUGUAGCAAAAAUAAUCAAAAGAAAGGGAAAUAUGAUACAUUAAGUUAUGAAUAUGUGAGGUCAAGUUUGUUAUGUGUUUCAUCUGUAAUGUGUUAUAUUUAAUUAUAAUACGUUAGUAAAAAAUUAUUAAAAAUAAUCAUUUGAAUCACAUUAGUAAUUUUUUGGAGAUUAACUUGAAGUAUUAAAUCUUACAAAAGGUCAAUUUGAGCACUAAUUCAAUAUUAAAUUUUAAUUGGUUUUAAUUGACUUUUCAGUGAAGGGGUUUUAAGUUUUUUAUCCAAUAACUAUAUUGAAAUUAUUACUAAUUGCUCAAUUAAAUCCUUUGGUUUCAAAAUAAUACAAUUGCCUAAAUAAUCACAUAUAAUUGUUAUAACAUGAAUAUUAAAUAGUAGUGGUUAUGCACAUUUUUGCUAAGAUAAUGAUAUUGCAAGUUCCUUCCUCAUUGAUUAAGUAUUUAAAGUGGAGUUCUUUCCGAUCAAUUUGGUGACACACAGGAUUUACUAGCUCCAACAAGAAUCAUAGAGUAGUACAGGCUAUUGGCAUCACAUUUAGUGCACUUGUUUUAGUUUUUUGAUUGGUUGCUAUUUGUUACUUAUGGAAGAAGGCAAAACAAAGAUCUAGAGGUAAUGUACAAUAAUCUCUCUCAUAUGAAUGCUUAUGUAUAGUAUGGUACUGAAUUGUAUAUCAAUAGCCGCUAUUUCAGGUUUUGUCCAUAGAAAUCAUGAUUGGUUAAUGAAUGAGGUGGUGCCUUCUAGAAGAUACUUGAGUGAUGAAAGGAACAUGGAUGAUCUAGAGUUGCCAAUGUUUGAUUUUGAUACCUUAAUGAUGGCUACAAACAAUUUCUCUUAAGAUAAUAAACUUGGAGAAGGAGGCUUCGAUAGUGUUUAUAGGUGUAGAUUAAUUGAAGGCCAAGAAAUUGCUGUGAAAAGAUUGUCAGAAGACUCUGGACAAGGAAUUGAAGAAUUUCAAAAUGAAGUCAAAUCAAUUGUCAAGCUGCAACACCGAAAUCUUGUUCGGUUGCUUGGUUGCUGCAUUAAGAAAAAUGAGAUGUUGGUGUAUAAAUAUAUGGAAAAUAGAGGCCUUGAUUCCAUUUUAUUUGGUAACUUGCAUUAUUUACUUAGAUUUUUUUAUUUUGGCAAUAAUUGUAAAAUUGGCCUCAGUUCCUAACUUCCUAUGCUUCAAAUAGAUGUCAUUCGAUUUGUUUUGGGUAGAUGAUUCAAAUUAUGAUGAUUACCAAAGUAAUUUUGUUGAAAGGUUUCAUGCUA